rnacentral:misc_RNA from 1 species
GAUGAAGGAACGUAGCGAAAUGCGAUAAGUAAUGCGAAUUGCAGAAUUCAGUGAGUCAUCGAAUCUUUGAACGCACAUUGCGCCCUGUGGUAUUCCGCAGGGCAUGCCUGUUCGAGCGUCAUUUCAACCCUCAAGCCCCGCUUGGUGUUGGGCCCCGCCCGCUGUGGCCGGCCCUAAAGACAGUGGCGGCGCCGCCUGGCCCUCAGCGUAGUACAUCUCUCGCUCCAGGGUCCGGUGGCCGCCUGCCAGAACCCCCCAACUCUGUGGUUGACCUCGGAUCAGGUAGGGAUACCCGCUGAACUUAAGCAUAUCAAUAAGCGGAGGA